rnacentral:rRNA from 1 species
AUUGAACGCUGGCGGCAUGCCUUACACAUGCAAGUCGAACGGCAGCACGGGGCAACCUGGUGGCGAGUGGCGUACGGGUGAGUAAUGCAUCGGAACGUACCUUUCAGUGGGGGAUAACGUAGCGAAAGUUACGCUAAUACCGCAUAUUCUGUGAGCAGGAAAGCAGGGGAUCGCAAGACCUUGCGCUGAUUGAGCGGCCGAUGUCAGAUUAGCUAGUUGGUGAGGUAAAGGCUCACCAAGGCGACGAUCUGUAGCGGGUCUGAGAGGAUGAUCCGCCACACUGGAACUGAGACACGGUCCAGACUCCUACGGGAGGCAGCAGUGGGGAAUUUUGGACAAUGGGGGCAACCCUGAUCCAGCCAUGCCGCGUGAGUGAAGAAGGCCUUCGGGUUGUAAAGCUCUUUCGGCCGGGAAGAAAUCGCACGGGCUAAUACCCUGUGUGGAUGUCGGUACCGGAAUAAGAAGCACCGGCUAACUACGUGCCAGCCGCCGCCGUAAGAC